GUGAUCCUUGCUGGGUUGAAGAUUGCUACUCCAUCUGAACUUUGCUUGCGAACAUCAAUCUAUUAGAAGAACGGUCAUUGCCGUUAAGAGCAAAUUGGCGUGAUCGUAGAUUGUUCCAUAUAUAUUAACUGAUUGAGCCGAUAUUGGAGGAAUGAAUUUCUCUUCCCAAAAACCCAGCCUGGUUGAGUCACGGUUCGCCGAAUCCGUCAGGAGUUCUCUUUUAUGCAAGAUUAUCGGGCAAGUUACAAACUCCAGCGUGAACUGAAUGCUUAGCAACGCUAUCAACCGCACACAUGGCGACACGAGGCGUUCGCCGUUUCUUGAAUCCGAAAGCAUUCCUUUGGUUGUUGCAGCCAUCACUGAAUGUCUGGCUAUAGUCAUCCUUAAUGUCAUCAUUACCGUUGUGUUUGUGAAGAAGCGCCAGCUAAACCGCAAAAGUCCAUACUUGAUCAUCCAUCUGGCGACAGUCGAUAUUUUAGUCGGGGCAGUCUCAGGGCCAAUUUAUAUUUACUGGUUAGGGAGUUAUUGUGAUCUAUGGGAAUUUGGGUUGACCAGUGAAGUCUAUCGAGCACUGCGUAUCGCUUUAGAGGAGCGCUUCCCUUUUGCUUCUCUUCUGAAUCUCGCUGCCAUUUCAUUAGAGAGGGUACAUGCGACUUUCUGUCCAUUUAGACAUCGUUUGAUCAAAACAUGGUUUUAUGGAGUUAUAAUAAUUGUAAUUUGGCUGACAAAUACGGCUGCAGCACUGAUAGAAGGAGUCACAGGCAGUCCCAUUGUGUAUUUUCUAUCUUUUCUUUUUCUUCU